rnacentral:misc_RNA from 1 species
CAGAACCAAGAGAUCCGUUGUUGAAAGUUUUGCUUUUAUUUUGUAAUAUACUCAGACAUUGGACACGAUUUGAUUCAAGAGUUUGGUAGAAUUGGCUACCGGCGGGCGCGGGCCAGAGGACCUGAAUAGGCGGUCCUCCGGCGGCCGUCGAAACGGCGGGCCCGCCGAAGCAACACGGGUCGGGUAAACAAAGGGUUGGGAGGUCGGGCCUGAGAAGACCCUAACUCGUUAAUGAUCCCU